AAUGUUGAACAGAGCACUUGAUUGUUAAUGACUAAAAUAACCCUUUUGUUGUGAUGAUCUUUAAAGGGUGACCAAGAACGUACAAAAUUUUGUUCAUUAAACCAUAUUGUAGAGGCUAUCGAAAAUUUGCCUGCACCUCCAGAAAUCAAGGAUCCAUCCCAGAGGCACAGAGGAGAUGGCCUGGUUCAAAGUGGCGGAAUCUUCAGGUAGAGUGGGAUGAGCCUCCUGAAAAUAUUUUCAUAUUUCCUUCUCUGACUUCGAGUCUUAAACGACCAUUACACUCUGGAUUCUUGGGAGCAGCAAACUGAAUGGGGAAAUUUGAUUAAAAGACCAUUCAUUCGGGUUCCUGAGAUUGGAAAUGGGAACUCUUUCCUUACUCGAUUUCAAAUCUACGUUUGGAACAGCUAGUCAAUAUGCUACUGAAACCUCAAUGUGUCAAUCAUGAUGGAACUUUAGCUGCUCUACAACAGCAAUCGGCUGCUAAUGGAGAUUUAAUAGCAGAUAUGAAGACCAUGCAGGCCAAACUCAACCAAAAGAAUCCGGGUGUCUUUUCAGAAGGAAAGUUGAACAGCCUAACAAAGUUUGGAAGUCAAUCACCAGUUGGAAAUAGUACUGACAAGACAAAAUUAGGUACUGAUUUUUCCGUGGAUCAAUUAAGCCAGUUGAAUUCUACAGGACAGGGAAUUGAAGAUAAAUUAGCUGCAGGGUAUGUUAGUCCCUAUAACCUUGUGAACCAGCUGACAUUUGCCAACCAAAACCAAAGUGCAGCGCAACUACAAACUAGCCCACGGCCUACGCAGCCGCCUUUGGAAUCAUUACUCUACCACUCCCAACAAACUGAUAUGCCUCAUUCAGAUUUCAA